rnacentral:rRNA from 1 species
CUGCAUUCAAAACUUAUAGACUAGAGUACGAUAGAGGAGAGUAGAAUUCCUGGUGUAGCGGUGAAAUGCGUAGAUAUCAGGAGGAAUACCAAUGGCGAAGGCAACUCUCUGGAUCGACACUGACGCUGAGGUGCGAAAGCGUGGGUAGCAAACAGGAUUAGAUACCCUGGUAGUCCACGCCGUAAACGAUGAGAACUAGCCGUUGGAUCUUUAGAUUCAGUGGNNCAGCUAACGCAUUAAGUUCUCCGCCUGGGGAGUACGGCCGCAAGGCUAAAACUCAAAUGAAUUGACGGGGGCCCGCACAAGCGGUGGAGCAUGUGGUUUAAUUCGAUGCAACGCGAAAAACCUUACCAACCCUUGACAUCUAGUGAAAUUUCUAGAGAUAGAUUUGUGCCUUCGGGAACACUAAGACAGGUGUUGCAUGGCUGUCGUCAGCUCGUGUCGUGAGAUGUAUGGUUAAGUCCAGUAACGAGCGCAACCCUUAUCCUUAUUUGCCAGCACUUCGGGUGGGAACUCUAAGGAGACUGCCGUGAAUAACACGGAGGAAGGUGGGGACGACGUCAAGUCAUCAUGGCCCUUACGGGUUGGGCUACACACGUGCUACAAUGGGAGAUACAGACGGUUGCGAAAGCGCGAGCUGGAGCUAAUCCUACAAAGUCUUCCUCAGUCCGGAUUGGAGUCUGCAACUCGACUCCAUGAAGUAGGAAUCGCUAGUAAUCGCGAAUCAGAAUGUCGCGGUGAAUACGUUCUCGGGCCUUGUACACACCGCCCGUCACGUCAUGGGAGUGUGUUGUACCAGAAGUGGCUUGCCUAACCUUCGGGAGGGCGGUCCCCACGGUAUGAUACGCGACUGGGACGAAGUCGUAACAAGGUAGCCCUAGGGGAACCUGGGGCUG